UUGUAGGGUAAAGGCCUACCAAGCCAUUAAUCGUUAGCCGGCCUGAAGAGGGCACACGGCCACCAUUGCACUGAAACCCGGCCCAAGCUUCCUACGGGAGGCAGCAGUGGGGGAUCCUUCACCAUAUGCAGGAACUUCUGAUGCAGCGACGCCCGCGUGAGCGAUGAAGCCCUUUCGGGGUGUAAAGUCUAUGGGCAGGAACGAUAAUAGACGGUACCUGCAGAAGAAAGCUGCGGCUAACUACGUGCCAGCAGCCGCGGUAAUACGUAGGCAGCAAGCGUUGUUCGGAAUUACUGGGCGUAAAGAGUGUGUAGGCGGUUCUCUAAGUUCGGUGUGAAAUCUCCCGGCUCAACUGGGAGGGUGCGCCGGAAACUGGAGGGCUCGAGUAUGGGAGAGGAAAGCGGAAUUCCUGGUGUAGCGGUGAAAUGCGUAGAUAUCAGGAGGAACACCUGCGGUGUAGACAGCUUUCUGGACCAUCACUGACGCUGAGACACGAAAGCGUGGGUAGCAAACAUAAUUAGAUACCCUGGUAGUCCACGCCCUAAACGAUGCCUCCCAGGUGUGAGCCGUUCAUUCGGUUCGUGCCGGAGCUAACGCGUUAAGUAUGCCGCCUGGGGAGUACGUUCGCAAGGCUGAAACUCAAAGGAAUUGACGGGGGCCCGCACAAGCGGUGGAGCAUGUGGU
rnacentral:rRNA from 1 species